AACCAAUAGAGAAACCUCUAGAAACAAAAAAAUUGAACCAGCUAAAAUCUAGAAUCUUCUAAGAACAAAACCAGUUCCACCUUUAGCCAUUAGGGUAAGGAGAGAGAAUUUUCGUCUCACCUUUCUCCCUCUCAGGUUCAGCAAGCACCCUUUCCCUCACCCUCUCCGAUUCAUUUUCGGCCAAUCAACGGCCAAUUAAAUCUCCAUUUCCGUUGAGAAAAAUUGAGUUUCGGCCUCCUUUUCAUCAUAGUCAGCUUUCUUUCUUAUUUUGUUGGUUGUUCUUCGCGUGAGGGAGAGAGACAGAUUCCGAUUCAGUUUCGCAGGCCGAAUUCAAGCCAUUUCCAGCAAGUUGAUCAGUCAAGCUAGUCGAGAUUGAUUCUUUAUCACCUCUGGAAUGAUUUUUCCUCCAUCGAUUCGUGCAACUGUUGAGUUGUAAUAGAUCCACCAUGAAUGGUGGUGGGGAGGAGACUGUCGAGGUCGUUUCGCCCAUUAGGAGACCUUGUCUCGCAAAAUGGGCCUUAGAACGAGAGUCCUCGUGCAAAAUGGAGCAAGAUAAUACAACACGUUGCAUUUUUUUGGAGAAGUUCGAUUUUUCGGCCACCGUCCAUGGCAGCUCCGGCUACUCUCCGGUGAGACAAUAGAGGCAGCAACAUCUUCUCAUUUUGCUGGUUACCAUGACGCUUUUACUUUUCGCAUUGGAAUAUCUAAAGUUGUAGGCGUCCAAACUAGAAUCCGUUUGAUCCAUUGGAAAGAUGAAACAAAACUCUACAAAUGUCUAAGAAGGAUCAAAAUCCAAUUCAGCCUCAAUGUUGAUCAAAAGUAGCUUUGAAUCCAGGAGAAAUGUUUAGAAUGAGCAUGCACAGCAGGUUUCGGUGUUUAAUUCAUAUAUGGAGUUUUACAUGUCCAAAUAAACUCAGCCCGGGCCCAUUUGAACCUUAAUAGCCAGCUCUACAAUUGUUAUGAAGACCACUAAUGAAGACCACUAAAGUGAAAUGACGUGACGUCGUUUUGAGUGUUAAAAACGACAGACAAUUUGAUCAUUCUGCUAUAACGUAUGUUGAAGACCAACAUACCUAUUUCGGUGUUUUUACCAUAUCUUGAGCUGUAAGUAUCCAUUUUGGAUGAAUUAUAGCUCGUUGGACAGCUGAGGAGAUCUUCAAGUUUUUUGAAGAAUCAGAGAGAGAUUCGAAAAGAGAAGGGCUAAAAAAAGGGGAGAGAAAUUAGAACGAGAAGAUUUUCAAUUGAUUGCUUUCAAAAUCCCUAAUUUAUUGGGGAUUUUCUGUCGUCUUUGAGGCUAUAAAAGGAGUAAUUUUGGAAGCAGCAAGAUAUUAAGGUUUUUACUUAGUUCAUCAUCUAUUUUGAGUAUCUUUUUCUAUUCUUUUGUUUUAGUGAUUGUAAGCCAUUGGCAUGAGUGGCUAAUUUCUUAGUUCAAUUCAAGGGAUUCAACAUCCAUUUGUAUAUUUGUGAGACAUGUUCUUACUUUAAAUUGAUUCUCUUUGAAUAUUUGCUGUUUCUUGUAUUUAAGGUGUUAGUCCUAUUGAAUGAUUUGUUAAAAAGGCCUAUUAGUCAAUUAUUUGGUAUGAUUAAGUGUUAUUUCAUCUUCAUAAUUUAUAAUUAGGUUUUACCGAUUAUGUUCCAAGUUUUCAAUAAUAAUCUAAAGAAAUAAUAUGGUUGAAUUAAACAAUUUAUGGUUUUUAAAUUGUUAUGCAAGUUUAACUACUCCCUGUUCUUAAUGCUUUCAUUAGAUUAAAAAGAAUUGGUUAAUUCUGGUUUAUUUAAUAAUUAGAGUUAAUGAGGGUGCUGAGCUCAAAUUAACGAUAAUAGGGAAAUCAGGGAAUUUAUCAUGCUUGUUGGUAAGUUUCAGUUAAGUAUUCAAAGAAUUAAUUGUUGGUAAGUUUCAGUUAAGUAUUCAAAAAAUAAUUAAUUCCUA